rnacentral:lncRNA from 1 species
UCGAGCCUGCGCCUCCUCUCGAGCCAUCUAAACGCAGAGAGCAUCUCUUCCGAAUGCCUCACCACGGUCAGAGAGGGCGGAGAGAGAAGAAGUCGCCGCCACCGUCAAAAGCCGGAGUUCUCCUGGGUCGCUAGGAACCUGUACGCGAAGGAAUCAGGCGCGGUGAAGACUUUGUACCCAGGGUAUUGCUCAACGGAGCAGGAUCUCCGCCCCGGUGCCGCGAUUCGCCGUGAAUCGAAGCCUCCGCGCCAUCAGGUACUCCCCUGGCCUUCGCUACCAUCUUCCCCCUCCCUGCGUAGCAGUUCGUGGUGUCCAUCUUAGAGCAGUAGGGCAUGGGUAAUCGCUCACCGGAAUACGGAAGCCGCCGCAGAGGCGCCAUCGACGUGGCCAGCCUCGGCCUCCACUUCGUUGUCGGCAUGGAUGCGUUCUUCUAUUUUGCCCUGUCCACCGCUUCAUAUAAUGCUCGUCGGUAUAGGAAUGUUCGACCACAAGGGCGGCACUGCGGUGAUUUCCUGCCGGCGCAUGACCGUCGCGACAAUGGGCAGCGCCGCCGUCAGUGCGGAAUCGGGCAGAGUGGAGGAGUCCCAGGCUGUUCCAUUUAGGCAAUGUUAGUUGUGUGCUAAUUUAUAGGGAUUGAGCGAGAUUAAAUUCAGUACAAGUCAAAUUUCUCUAGAUCCCUUCUAAUUCUCAUCAAUCUCUAUGAUUUUAGAAUCAAACGGAACGUUUCAGAUUAGAUGAGAGGUAAUGGUUUGACAGGGGCGAUGUGUGUGGUUCGAUCAUGGAUGUGCGAUCACGAUCGUGGCAAUGACAUGGAUGUCUCUGGUCUGUUGAUCUGGAAUCCAACGGUGGAGUGUGCUACCGGUUCGGUCUCUAAUCUGAGUCGUGGUUCGGUGGCUGCAUGGCUCUAGAUCCGCUCAGGG